GUGGGGAAUAUUGGACAAUGGGCGAAAGCCUGAUCCAGCCAUGCCGCGUGUGUGAAGAAGGUCUUCGGAUUGUAAAGCACUUUAAGUUGGGAGGAAGGGUAGUAACCUAAUACGUUGCUACUUUGACGUUACCGACAGAAUAAGCACCGGCUAACUUCGUGCCAGCAGCCGCGGUAAUACGAAGGGUGCAAGCGUUAAUCGGAAUUACUGGGCGUAAAGCGCGCGUAGGUGGUUCAGUAAGUUGGAAGUGAAAUCCCCGGGCUCAACCUUGGAACUGCUUUCAAAACUGCUGAGCUAGAGUACGGUAGAGGGUGGUGGAAUUUCCUGUGUAGCGGUGAAAUGCGUAGAUAUAGGAAGGAACACCAGUGGCGAAGGCGACUACCUGGACUGAUACUGACACUGAGGUGCGAAAGCGUGGGGAGCAAACAGGAUUAGAUACCCCAGUAGUCC
rnacentral:rRNA from 1 species